rnacentral:lncRNA from 1 species
AGAGUCAUCUGGUGGUUGAAAUAUAAGCAGUCACUCAGGGAAAGCUAUUUUCUGCAAGUUAUGGUAAUCUUCGGAAAAUGUGAUUUGUUAGUUAUUUGGUAUGUAACAUUGACAAAAUUUGUGUUAUAUUCUUAAGAUUAACUGUAAAAUGUAGGUACAUACAGUAGUAUUUUAUCCGGAUAACUGGUGAAUGGGAUUGUGAAAUUUUGUGGGAGGCAACAAAGUAGAAGAGCAAAAAUGACACUACAGGUAUGAAUGUGCAAUCUUUUUUACUGGAAGCAUUGUGCAUAAGUUAUAUAUCUGAAGCAAUGUAACAAGAAAGUUAUUAUUUUGAUACUGUAGUGCUAGUGUAUGCUAUGUUCUGCUAGCAAUGUGUAUUCAUCUUGGCAAUAUACACAAGAUUCCCAAAAGUAUCGAAGAAAUACAAUGAAGUCUUAAAGUUGUAUAAGCCUCUGUCAUUCUUUGUUAUGCCGAAAUAUAAACUAAAGACUUCAAACCUCUAGCAUACUAGUCAUAGAAAAUGAUAUACAUGAUAUUCACUUUUGUAUCUUAGUGACAGUAUUGACCUACAUUUGCCCGGAGGAAGAUGCUAUUGGUGAAUGCACAUGUUAGAUUUGCACUCUGGGGUGCCAGAGAUCUAAAUAAUAACAUCAACGUGAUAGGAAAACAAUUGAUUAAACAUUGAAGGGCCUUCCAUAAUAUUUUUAUUGUUUUAGCUUUAAGUACAAAGAACAGUAUUAUUUUGUUCUGAUAUUUUCUCCCCUCAUUCAGUUUUACCUUCAACAAGGCCUGAACCCUUCUGUAAAGGGAGUGAGGGUUACUGCUACCAAAAAAGCCUUUGCUAUUUUUUCUGCCUGAUCUUUACUGGCUAGAAACAGCAUCAGUUGGCACAGUGCAAACUGAAAAUUCUCCAUACUUGCCUCCUCUCCUUAACAAAUUUAAACUGAAAAUGAUGGGCUAUAAUUUUUCUUCAAACUUCUAAGUACUGCAGAGUUACGAAUUUCUCAGUAAUUGUGAUAUUGAUAAUUUGAUAUGCUUAAGAGUCAUUGACCUCUGUAAUAAACCUUCCAGAUAUACUUCCCCAGAUCUGGGGAUACAUGUAUUGUGAUUGUCUGAUCCCCUUGUUGAGGGAGGCAGAGGGG